ACAGAGGUGGCAAGCGUUGUUCGGAAUUACUGGGCGUAAAGGGUCCGUAGGCGGCCUGAAAAGUUGGAUGUGAAAUCCCACAGCUUAACGGGGGAACUGCAUUCAAAACUCUCGGGCUUGAGUGUGAUAGGGGUGAAGGGAAUUCCCGGUGUAGCGGUGAAAUGUGCAGAUAUCGGGAGGAACACCAGUCGCGAAGGCGCUUUUCUGGAUAAGUACUGACGCUGAGGCACGAAAGCCAGGGGAUCAAACGG
rnacentral:rRNA from 1 species